rnacentral:rRNA from 1 species
AUAUUGCACAAUGGGGGAAACCCUGAUGCAGCGACGCCGCGUGUGGGAAGACGGUCCUCUGGAUUGUAAACCACUGUCCCCAGGGACGAAGAUGACGGUACCUGGGGAGGAAGCCCCGGCUAACUACGUGCCAGCAGCCGCGGUACUCCGUAGGGAGCGAGCGUUGGCCGGAAUUACUGGGUGUAAAGGGAGUGUAGGCGGGACUGCAAGUUGGGUGUCAAAUCUACCGGCUCAACCGGUAGCCGCACUCAAAACUGCAGUUCCUGAGUGAAGUAGAGGCAGGCGGAAUUCCUAGUGUAGCGGUGAAAUGCGUAGAUAUUAGGAGGAACACCAGUGGCGAAGGCGGCCUGCUGGGCUUUUACUGACGCUGAGGCUCGAAAGUGUGGGGAGCAAACAGG